rnacentral:rRNA from 1 species
GUGGAUUAGAUACCCCGGUAGUCCACGCCGUAAACGAUGGAUACUCGCUGCGGGCUAAAGAUUGUCCGUGGCUUAGGGAAACCGAUAAGUAUCCCACCUGGGGAGUACGCCGGCAACGGUGAAACUCAAAGGAAUUGACGGGGGCCCGCACAAGUGGUGGAGCAUGUGGUUUAAUUCGAUGAUACGCGAGGAACCUUACCUAGGCUAGAAUGCGCGUGACCGGCUCAGAGAUGAGCCUUUCCUUCGGGACACAAAGCAAGGUGCUGCACGGUCGUCGCCAACU